GGAGCAAAGUGGGUGUGUGUGAGUAUUGCUAUACAUGCUGUUGUUGGGUUAGCACUGUGUUUUGGAGUGCAUGCUGGCGUAGCCAUUUUUGGCAGCUUGUGCCGUCCCUCGGCCAUCAGCAUAGAAGUUUCAGUUCUGUGAGGUUCUUGGGAGUGGCUCGGACAAGCAUAGGUCAGGGUGACAAUUGGACAAUCAUGGUCCUUAUAUGGAUGUACUGAAGUUGAUGUACUUGUGAUGUACUACCUGGCCCUACUGAAGUUGAUGUACUUGUGAUGUACUACCUGGCCCUACUAAGUGGUGAAUUCUGAGGGUUGGUUCCAUGACCGCCGACGUACAACGCCAUGUCCCUCUGACUGGAUUGGCCCAUCUCUGACCUAGACGAUGAGAGCGGGAUACCUACCGCAGAUUUGACAAGCCCUAUCAGCAAAACUUCAACAGCAUAUUGAUUUAGAAUUGUAUAAUUUCUUAAUAAUACUUUUUGCACUUCGAUCACCUGAUAUAUUUACGCACAUUUUGAGUGUACCAUUUCUCAUAUGAAUUAAUAAUUUGAUGCAACUAUUUGCCUGGAUAUUAAGAUCAUUAUUUUGUGCAUAUACUCUGGUGUAUUGCUGCACAGGUGCUGUUGUUUGGAUGUACAUGUAUAAUUUGUGAAAAUUGUGUAUUGAUGUAACCUGUGGUGUCCAGCUACAUGUAGCAGCUAGUGUUCUUUGACUUAAAAGGAAUGGAGAUUGUUGAAUUGGUUUAGUUUAAUAUUUGUGAGAAAACCCCGAGAAUUGUCAUUCUAUGUGAUUUUGAUUGAAACGUUGAAUUGGAUAUUGAAUUGUAGGUUUUGAAUAGGAAAGUUUUAGGCAGCCAGUGAUGUUUAGGUGAACAUAGAACGGAUUGUUAAUAGUGUGGAUUUAUGGAUUGAAUUGUUUAUAGUGUGGAUUUAUUAUCCAGGUUGUUCAUAGUGCAGAUUUAUUGAUUGAAUUGUUAAUAGUAUGGAUUUAUUGCUAGGCACGUAAAUAUAGAUACUAGAUGCUGAUAUUGACCGUAGAUAUUUGAUUGUAGAUAUUGAAUUGGAAGUUUGAAUCGGUCAGUUGUAUUUGCUGUGAACAACGGAAAUUAGACUGCUAGAUAUUUUAAACAGUGAAAUUUCUUACCUGCUAUAAUUCCAUUGCAUAAACUGAAUUGAUAUUUUGAGGUGGUUUUAUUUGUACCUAUAAGCUGACUAUUAAUACGAGUUCAUAACGAAGAUUGCCCCUGGACAUUUCUGAACGUACGAUUUUGAUGUUGUGUAAAUUUGUCAAAUAAAUUUGUAAGAGUAAUUUGUAAAUAUAAA